rnacentral:rRNA from 1 species
AGAGUUUGAUCAUGGCUCAGAAUGAACGUUGGCGGCGUGGAUUAGGCAUGCAAGUCGAACGGGCCGCAAGGCCAGUGGCGGAAGGGUGAGUAAGGCGACGGUAAUCAACCCCAUGGUUGGGUAUAGCCGCGGGAAACUGCGGGUAAUCCCCAGCGACGUCCGGAUCGGGCAUCCGAAUCGGACCAAAGUCCUGGCGCCGUGGGACGAGCCGUCGUGGUAUUAGGUCGUUGGCGGGGUAAUGGCCCACCAAGCCUAUGAUGCCUACCGGGCGUGCGAGCGUGGCCCGGCACACUGGGACUGAGACACUGCCCAGACUCCUACGGGAGGCUGCAGUCGAGAAUCUUCGGCAAUGGGCGCAAGCCUGACCGAGCGACGCCGCGUGGAGGAUGAAGGCCUUCGGGUUGUAAACUCCUGUCGAGGGGGAAGAAGGUCGGGUAACCGGCUUGACCGAUCCCUGGAGGAAGCACGGGCUAAGUUCGUGCCAGCAGCCGCGGUAAGACGAACCGUGCGAACGUUAUUCGGAAUCACUGGGCUUAAAGCGCGUGUAGGCGGAUGGGAACGUCGGUUGUUGAAAGCCCCCGGCUCAACCGGGGAACUGGCACCGAAACGACCCGUCUGGAGGGACGUAGGGGGACCUGGAACUUCCGGUGGAGCGGUGAAAUGCGUUGAGAUCGGAAGGAACGCCCGUGGCGAAAGCGAGGUCCUGGACGUCUACUGACGCUGAGACGCGAAAGCUAGGGGAGCGAACGGGAUUAGAUACCCCGGUAGUCCUAGCUGUAAACGAUGGGCACUGGGUAGGGGGCUCGCCGAUGGGCUCCCUGCCGCAGGAAACCGUGAAGUGCCCCGCCUGGGGAGUAUGGUCGCAAGGCUGAACUCAAGGAAUUGACGGGGCGCGCACAAGCGGUGGAGCAUGUGGUUUAUUCGACGCACGCGAGACCUUACCUGGGCUCGAAAUGUACAGGACAGUCGUAGAAAUACGAUCUCCCAGCAAUGGGUCUGUAUAUAGGUGCUGCAUGGCUGUCGUCAGCUCGUGUCGUGAGAUGUUGGGUUAAGUCCCGCAACGAGCGCAACCCUUAUCUCUAGUUGCUACCAUUUAGUUGAGCACUCUAGCGAAACCGCCUCGGAUAACGGGGAGGAAGGUGGGGAUGACGUCAAGUCCUCAUGGCCUUUAUGUCCAGGGCUACACACGUGCUACAAUGGCCGGUACAAACCGCUGCAACCCCGCGAGGGUGAGCUAAUCGGAAAAAGCCGGCCUCAGUUCGGAUUGGAGUCUGCAACUCGACUCCAUGAAGCUGGAAUCGCUAGUAAUCGUGGAUCAGCAUGCCACGGUGAAUACGUUCCCGGGCCUUGUACACACCGCCCGUCACAUCACGAAAGUGGGUUGCACUAGAAGUCGGUGCGCUAACCGCAAGGGAGCAGCCGCCCAAGGUGUAAUUCAUGAUUGGGGUGAAGUCGUAACAAGGUAGCCGUA